GACGAACGCUGGCGGCGUGCUUAACACAUGCAAGUCGAGCGGUAAGGCCCUUUCGGGGGUACACGAGCGGCGAACGGGUGAGUAACACGUGGGUGACCUGCCCUCAGCUCUGGGAUAAGCCCGGGAAACUGGGUCUAAUACCGGAUAUGACUUCAUGACGCAUGUUGUGGAGUGGAAAGCCUUGUGCGGCUGAGGAUGGGCCCGC
rnacentral:rRNA from 1 species